CCUACGGGUGGCAGCAGUGGGGAAUAUUGGACAAUGGGCGAAAGCCUGAUCCAGCCAUGCCGCGUGUGUGAAGAAGGCCUUCGGGUUGUAAAGCACUUUCAGUGGGGAAGAAAGCCUUGGGGCUAAUACCCUCGAGGAAGGACAUCACCCACAGAAGAAGCACCGGCUAACUCCGUGCCAGCAGCCGCGGUAAUACGGAGGGUGCGAGCGUUAAUCGGAAUUACUGGGCGUAAAGCGCGCGUAGGCGGUCUGAUAAGCCGGUUGUGAAAGCCCCGGGCUCAACCUGGGAACGGCAUCCGGAACUGUCAGGCUAGAGUGUAGUGGAGGAAGGUAGAAUUCCCGGUGUAGCGGUGAAAUGCGUAGAGAUCGGGAGGAAUACCAGUGGCGAAGGCGGCCUUCUGGACUAACACUGACGCUGAGGUGCGAAAGCGUGGGUAGCAAACAGGAUUAGAUACCCCAGUAGUC
rnacentral:rRNA from 1 species